UUGCUUUGGCAGCACACACGCUGAAAAUUGGAAUGAUACAGAGAAGGCAUGGCCCCCGUUUAAGGAUGACAAUUUCUGAAGCAUUCCAUCAUUUU
ensembl:snRNA U6 U6 spliceosomal RNA